rnacentral:rRNA from 1 species
UGGGGUGGUAAAUGCCGGAUGCUCCAGUUGGAUGCAUGUCCUUCUGGGAAAGAUUCUAUCGGUAUGGGAUGGGGUCGCGUCCUAUCAGCUUGAUGGCGGGGUAACGGCCCACCAUGGCUUCGACGGGUAGCCGGCCUGAGAGGGCGACCGGCCACAUUGGGACUGAGAUACGGCCCAGACUCCUACGGGAGGCAGCAGUGGGGAAUAUUGCACAAUGGGCGCAAGCCUGAUGCAGCGACGCCGCGUGCGGGAUGACGGCCUUCGGGUUGUAAACCGCUUUUGACUGGGAGCAAGCCCUUCGGGGUGAGUGUACCUUUCGAAUAAGCACCGGCUAACUACGUGCCAGCAGCCGCGGUAAUACGUAGGGUGCAAGCGUUAUCCGGAAUUAUUGGGCGUAAAGGGCUCGUAGGCGGUUCGUCGCGUCCGGUGUGAAAGUCCAUCGCUUAACGGUGGAUCCGCGCCGGGUACGGGCGGCUGAG